CGCAGCCGCGGUAAUUCCAGCUCCAAUAGCGUAUAUUAAAGUUGUUGCAGUUAAAAAGCUCGUAGUUGAACUUCGGGAUCAAUGGAUUGGUCAUGCCGAUGGUGUGUACUGGUCAUAUUGGUUCUCACCUUCUAAGGAACCAUAAUGUCAUUUAUUUGAUGUUGUGGGGAAUUAGGACUGUUACCUUGAAAAAUUAGAGUGUUUAAAGCAGGCUAACGCUUGAAUACAUUAGCAUGGAAUAAUGAAAUAGGACAUCGCAUUCUAUUUUGUUGGUUUCUAGGAUCGAUGUAAUGAUUAAUAGGGAUAGUUGGGGGCAUUAGUAUUCAAUUGUCAGAGGUGAAAUUCUUGGAUUUAUUGAAGACUAACUACUGCGAAAGCAUUUGCCAAGGAUGUUUUCAUUAAUCAAGAACGAAAGUUAGGGGAUCGAAGACGAUCAGAUACCGUCGUAGU
rnacentral:rRNA from 1 species